rnacentral:lncRNA from 1 species
CGUUUAUGAAGCCUCUACUAAUAUUGACUAUAGGUAAUCGAAACAUGACCCCCAUCUAUCUCUAAUCAAUAUGACUGAAUAAACAUGCUACUAGAACUAUAGUUGACUCGAGUCAUCAAAUUAAAAGAACUUAUCACCUGCUGACUGGAAGCUGCAAACUAUCAGAUUAUGAUGUGUGGGCUACAACUGGCACCUACAUUACGAGACAAUGUAGCCCAUAGAAAUAUAUAUAGGUCAAUACUCUUGGAAUGACCUUGAGCUUGAAUAAAAUAAAGACUACAAAAUCAUAAAUAUGAGUAAUGUACCAUAAGGAUAAACAUUGUGAGUUAUAACACAUAGUUCUGAUAACUUUACUUUUAGUUUUUCUUAUGAGAGUUUCUUCUAACUAACAUAAACCAUGUGAGCUACCAUGGAGUUCAACGUCUUACCCAUGUUGGGAAGAGUUGUCCUAUCCUUGUCAUCUGAAUAGAACCUUAAUCUUAGUGAUUACUUUACUUCAUCCAUAUCGGGAAAAAACUUAACCUACAGUUGCUCGUAGUUUCAAGAAAUUAAGGUUACGAGCAUCUGUAUCUACAUUACCUUCUUGGUGCUAAAUACUACUCCCAAAAUACUUAUAUGCUCAUACUUUAGGAAUCCACCUUAAAUUAGCAUAAGUAUUUUAUAGAAUGAAAAACAGUUAUGCUUCUCUUUACUUUAAAUCAUAAUCAAGAUGAACAAAUGUGGAUUCCAUAUCUUAUCUUAAUAUCAAAGAUCAAUCUUUGAUUUAAAUCAUAGUACAAACUUAUCGAUGGAGCUUAAGAGCAUAAUCUUUUAGUAAACUCAAUACUUGUACUUAAGACUUAUAACACAUGCGUAAAUUCUUAUAAAUUCAUGAUAAAACUUCAUACUUAAUAAUCAUCUUAAAAUACUUCACCAAUUCCAGUCAGAAUAAGGAAAUUCAAAUCAUAAUAUGAAUCUUAUAAAUCAAAACAUGGAUGUAAGUAAACCUUGAUGCACUAAAAACUUUUAAUCUCAUGGAAAUUUUAUAAUUCAAGAAUAUGGCUAUUUGGGUAUGAGCCCUAAUUCAAAAUAAAGAAAUUCAAUAUUGAAACGAUGUAUUUUAGGCAUUAGGAUGAGAAAAUAACCUUGUUCAUAAAUCCCACAUACCUAAAGUUUCUUGAUUUGUGAAGAUAGUUUGUAUCUUGGGACUUGAAGGAUGAAUUUUGGGUAAGGAACCCUAAUCUUGAUGUUCUUGAAUUCUUGAUGAUGGGAGGGUCAAAGAACGUGUUAAGUGAUUAAGGAUGGUAGAAAAAUAAUGUCUUUUUAUGUUUUCAAGUCAUUGGUUGGUAGUUUAAAGAGGGGAAAAGACCAAAAAACCCCUUAGGAACCUUCUGAAAAUCGUUUGGAAGCCGUCUCGACAUCUUAGGCCACCACUUGUAUGUUUUGGGUACAGUUCAUAUCCCAAGUCAUCACCAGGAACCCAGAUUUUGGCCUCUACUAUCAUAGGUACGACUUCUUCUAACGACUCAUAUGGUCUGCUUACGAGUCAUCAUCAGUGAGUCGUAACCACUGGAAGCUUUGAUAGUGCUUCAGCAAUUUGGUCGUAACUUUUCACCUCGUUAUUGGAUUAAGUAUAAAUUAAUAUAGUUGGAAAUAUAAUUAAAUUAUCUAUAUUUUGGUAGGUCUUGAGCUCAUAAUGUUUUCGUAUAACAAAAGUUAUGCUCGUUGUAAGAUGACUGUAGUCGUAUGCAUCCUAAGAAUUUAAUCGCUAAGGAAUGCUUUGACUUGUUCUUGAGAUAGGAACUAUUUGAGGACUUAAUAUAUGUCCAAUUAACUUAUAAAUCUUUCAAAACAUGAGGCUUUAUUCUUGGGUCCUUUGUUGGUCAGGAUACGAGUCAUAUCUUACGACUCGUAACAAGCCAUUACGACUUGUUGCCACCACUCGUAAGUUGAAUAGAAACUUAGGGAACCUAGGUUGUUACCCUUACGACUCAACUUCAUACACCUCAUACCAUGCCUUGAUGACUUCUACGGUCAAAUCAUAUCCACAACAAACUUCAACUACUCUACACUGCCAUAGGUAUGACUCCAACGUACGACUCAUAUGUUAUUUAUAUGACUUAAGGAGAUAAGUCAUAUAUUGUACAAUAUCUUUUACACAUGGGGAAUUUUAAUAUCUCCACCUUGGGAUGAUUCAUCCUCAAAUGAUACUGACUUGGCUAAAAUACUAAGGAAAAGCUGAGAUAAUGCACUGAACACUUACAAGUUGAAUCAUAACUUAAUAUUUGAAUUUGAAACUGAUGCAUGGACCGAGCUGAAUUCGUAAUUUGGAUAGAUGAGAAUAUUUAACUCAUGGAAUAGCAAUUCUCAUGAAACUUUGAAUAGUAAUACUAGAUGGAUAGAUGGAAAACCAAUGAGAUUAUCUAUUUGAUUGCUAAACUGAAUUGUUGGAUACACAGACUGAAUCAUACUGAAAGUUUAUGCUCAACCUGAGUAUUUCUUCAACACUUUUUGCAAGAUGUUAUAAUAACAUUAGGGAGCAAAGAAUUUUGGGCAUAGUCUGAAUAAGAUAUCUUAAUAAAGAAUCGUAACAUAGCUACAACUCUAUAACAUGUAAUAUAGGCCUAUGAAACAUAAGUUAGGAUAGAAUCACUAAACCUUAGGUAAUGCAACUGCUAACUUCAAGCUUAACCACACGUCUAAAAGAUUCCCUCAACUAUACUAUUCCUCUUAAAUAAUAUACUCAUUUUAUGCAACUUAUAAUUCUCACAUGGGUACAUAUAACUACUCUAGCCAAAGUCUGAGUUGAACUACACACUCUCGCCAUGUUCAAGCCUAACUCAAAAUUACAAAUUACAACACAUAACAUCAUAAUACUAGUCUAAACUAUGAAUUUAGUACCCCACGUGUGUUUCACAGUUCACAUUUCCCGAAUAAUUUUUCUUGCCACUUUGACAACUAAAUUCAACCUCUUACUAGGAAUUCACUAGCGCAUAAUGCACCUAUCCACUUAUAUGGCAACAUGACAUUCAAGCAUUUUAUUAUAAUCACAUAUGAACUCCUAAGCAAACAAUCCACCUAGGAAAUUUUUCCCACCUUCUCUAAUAUCUCUUGUCAAUAACCAUUCCUAUGCACUAUCUAUAAUAAAACACACCUAGAAUUCUCAAAUAACCAAGACAUAUAUCAAAAUUUUCACCUAAAUCUUCCUUCAUAUUUAUAGAGUUAGGUUAAAACAACCAUAGUACAAUCUUUCCCCAAUAAGAAACAUUUACUCUCUCCCAUCUAAACGAUUGUUCAUUACCACUAUCAUCCCCUCCUUAGAUUAAAGCCAACCUUCUAAGCUUAUGGGUCUAUUCCAUAUCCUUAGGACUGAGCAAUAAUUUCUUCACUCUAGUGUUCUACAGAGAAAUGCUCAACUCACGCGAAUAAACUAUAUUUCAAACAUACUAACUUCAUUCUAGAAUACUCCCUUAACAUAUAUCAUCCUUAACUUUCUCUAACUUUAGCAAUUAUCAUCAUGUACUUACACCCUUGUCAACAACAUACUUGCCUCUCUAAACACAUAAUCUACCUCAUUUCCAUCAUAGCCUACUAACAACACAUCCUUAAAAUUUUAUUUUUCCCAAAACCAUGAGAAUUACCAUUAAACCAUAAUUCCCAACAUCACAACCUAUAACCCAUAACUUAGCUGGUAAGAACACCAUAUACUACAUAACUAGCCUUCUUACCAUUUAGCAACUCAAGGGUACCACUAACAACACAUAACCCUUAAUAAUCUUAGAAAAUAACGUAACCCCAUAUCACCUUGGGUACACCUCUAAAUCAUACCUACCACAUCUUACUUAAUUAAGAAUAAAUGAACUUAAACUCCUACAUUCACUAUUCUAGCCUACUAGAUUAUUUUCUUAUAACUAGCAUCACUAACCAAGCAAUCAUUAUUUCCACCUUGAUGAUCAUCCACGGUUCAAACUUAGUAUCUAGUGCUUGACAUGAUUUACAACACACCCUCACAUACUAUUCUUGCUUGAAAGCUAUAAAAUAAAACACAAAGAAACACUAGUCCCCUAGAACCUCAUACUAAUAAUAAUCGAUCAUAACUAUAUGGUAUACCUUAUUAUAAUCCAUUAGCACAUUCUCCUCCUACACAUUACUACCAUUUACCCAUCUAUGCACCUAAAUUACUUCCAUAGCUCUAUAGGUUUCAACUAAACUCCCCUUUUUUUCACAACCACAAGGGAAAACUAAACUAAAAAUACUCAGCCACCAACUACUUUCAUUAAUAACUUAUACUUUUCUAACACUAUGUAAUACAAUCAAGAACCCCUUUCCUACUUCAAGCAUAAUCUAAGUCACCUUAACAAAUAACUACUUCUCUACCUUCUACCACGAAAUAUACACCACACUCACUACCUAUUUAGGUAACACCCAGUGAUGCAUCACCUCAAUCCUUACUUAAUAGCAUGCAUAGAUCUCUCACUAUACUAUUAACCAGUCUUUAUCUCUAACUUUCUUGUCACUACACUUCUAAAUUCAUACUUCUAACUCUGAGGUAUUCUAUUACUUAUGAAUUAUAACACACUAAAUUACAAUAUCUCUUAAGGAAAACUAUAAUCAAUAAUUUGGGUACAUAACCUUUCCUCUCAUGAUUGUUAUCUGUAACAAAGGGCUAGAGGAAAAAUUUAAUUAUGUAGCAUAUCCUGUCUUGACCGCACAACUCAUAUAGAAGAGGACAUAAGCUUUCGAUUUAAAGGACUUUAAACACACUAGCGGGAUCCUCCAAAGCCCUUUGUGUAACUUCCGAAGUUACUAAUAGUAAAUCUGAGAGCAUCAUCUUGGUAGGAAUUCGAACCUACAAAUCAUGUUAUCUCGAGAAUAAGUCAUAGAGGGAGAAUUAUGGAGUAACACACAAAUUAACAGAAGUUUCUGAGAGAACAACUUUACAACAUGAUCUAGAUCAUGAAGGAGGGAAAUAUUUCUUAAAUUCCCUAUUGAAUCUCAAAUAAAAGUAUAAAUGUCUUCGUACCAUCCGCAAUACUCUACUAGACACGGCUUCAUAGACAUCCUAUGACACUUGAAUUCUGUGCUCUGAUGCCAAGUUUGUAACGUCCCAAGACUACUCCUAAAUAUCACACGGUGCUUGGAACCACAAGUGAUCUUAAGCUAACCCAUGAUACUUACAUAACUCAUGAGUAACUAAAUAUGUUACAUAAAUCUAAAAGAAAUAAGUGGAAGAGAUAAUUUUUCUGAAUAUAUUCAAUACAAAACUAUUUAAAACGUUUAUACUUUAAUUAUACAAAAUAAAACUAGAAGUAAAUACAUCAACUUUAAAUGAUCGUCUAUGAAGCCUCUACUAAUAUUAACUAUAGGUAGCCGGAACAGGACCCCCAGUUAUCUCUAAUCAAUAUGAUUGAAUAAACAUGCUACUAGAAUUUUGUAAUAGUAUUUUACGUGUGAAUCUUUUUAUCUAGUUGUGGGUGUAGAUUUCCUUGUUGAUUGGUUACUUUGUAAUAGUAUUUUACGUGUGAAUCUUUUUAUUGUUCUUAGUAGUUUUGGAGUGUGUUACCUUGUCUAAUUACUGUUACUUGAUUUACUAGCAUAUCCAUAAAUUGUGGUAGUAUUAGUUCCAUCUAUUCACUAUUGUUUAUCAAAAUUUGUGUUAUAUUAUUGGUUUUGUUGCUCUCUAUCUAUUAUAGAUUGUUGGUUGUGUCCCUAGCUCCUUUAUUGACUUCAUUGUAACUAGUGUGGCCUUUUUACCUUAUCUUAAUCCCCCUUUGUUAUCUUUCUUCCCUUUUUCCUUUCAUCCCUUUCCCUUUUGUCGCAUAGUGGCGGUGAUUAGCAAUGGUAGACAAGGUUUAUGUCAUAAGUCAAGGUUGGGGUCAAGGUCAGGAGGUUUUAGGUCUGGUUCGACGUUUGAGGGGUUGGGUCUAUGUCGGGGUUUGGGGGGGUUGGGUCUGGGUCGGGUCUAAGAUCGUGCUUGGGGUUAGGGGCUAGGGGUAGUAAGGUUAGGCCGGAUAAAAGAGCUUCUAGGUUGUAAGUUGGGUCUUGGAACAUCGGUACUUUGCAGGGUAAGUCUAUAGAGCUGGUGAAGAUUCUUAGAAAGCGGAGGGUUAGUGUAGCGUGUGUCCAGGAAACUAAAUGGGUAGGCGCUAAAGCGAGAGAUAUGGAUGGGUAUAAGUUGUGGUACUCGGGUAACAUGAGACAUAGAAAUGGGGUAGGUAUCUUAGUAGAUGAAGAUUUUAAGGAGCAGGUGGUAGAGGUAAAGAGAGUUAGUGAUAGACUGAUGUCUAUUAAGUUGUCAUGGGAGAGUCUACAAUGAAUGUUAUUAGUGCCUACGCCCCGCAAGUAGGUUUGGACGAGGAGGAGAAGAAGGAAUUCUGGGAGGUUUUAGAUGAGGUGGUGAGGAGCAUCCCGAGCACUGAGAAGCUUUUCGUGGGAGGGGAUUUCAAUGGGCAUAUUGGGUCUCUAUCGAGAGGGUACGAUAAUGUGCAUGGCAGUUUUAGUUUUGGUGAGCAAAAUGAAGGAGGAACUUCUCUGUGGGAUUUUUCUAGGGCUUCUGGGUUGUGGAUAGAGAAUUUGAGCUUUCCGAAGGAGGAGGAUCACCUUAUUACAUUUCGUAGUUCAGUGGCCAGGACUCCUAUAGACUUUUUGCUUCUUAGAAAAGGGGAUAAAGCGCUAUGUAAAGACUGUAAAGUCAUACCUAGCGAGAAUAUCUCAACUCAACAUAGGUUGUUGGUGAUGGACUUGGUUAUGAAUAAGGGCAAAAAGAAGAGAAGUGGGGAGGCAAGGCCUAGGAUUAAGUGAGGUAGCUUGACUUUGGCUAGUGCUUUGGAGAUGAAAGAGAAGUUGAAGAGUAGGGAGCGUGGGAGGGUAGAGGAGGUGUGGAUAAUAUGUGGAAGACGGCUGCCAGUUGCAUUAGGGAGACCGCUAGAGAGGUGUUGGGUGUCUCGAGAGGUCGAUCUGACAAACAUCAAGGAGACUGGUGGUGGAACAAAGAGGUCAAGAGAAAGGCGGAGUCUAAGAAGGUGGCUUAUACUAAGUUGGUUGGGAGUAAGGAUGAUGAGGAAAGGCAAAAGAAUAAGGAGGAGUUUAAGGUAGCUAGAAGAGAGGCUAAGUUAGCGGUUACGACGGCUAAGACAGCAGCUUUUGAGAGUUUGUAUGCGGCUUUAGAGGAAAAAGGCGGAGAUAAGAAGUUGUAUAGGAUGGCCAAGGACAGAGAGCGGAGGGCUCGUGACCUUGACCAAGUGAAGUGCAUCAAAGGAGAGGAUGGUAUAGUGUUGGUUUAGGAUGCCCUCAUUAGGGAGAGGUGGCAGUCCUAUUUUCAUAAACUUUUGAACGACAAGGGGGACAAAAAUUCGGUGUUGGGAGACUUGGAGAUAUCUUAGGAGGGUCGCGAUUAUAGUUAUUGUAGGCGUAUCAAGAUUAAGGAGGUCAAGGGGGCUAUUCGCAGGAUGCGGUGGGGUAGAGCGACGGGGCCAGACGAGAUUCCAGUAGAUUUUUGGAAGAGCACUAGCGGGGCAGGUCUGGAGUGGUUGACAAGGCUGUUUAACAUUAUUUUUAGAGCUGCUAAGAUGUCUGAAGCGUGGAGGUGGAGCACAAUGAUUUCAGUGUAUAAGAACAAGGGAGACAUUUAGAGAUAUAACAACUAUAGAGGUAUUAAGUUGUUGAGUCAUACUAUGAAGGUUUGGAAAAGUGUGGUAGAGUUGAGGAUGGGAGAAUCGUGACGAUCUCUGAGAAUCAAUUCGGUUUCAUGCCUGGUCGCUCGACCACUGAGGCCAUUCACCUUGUGAGGAGAUUAGUGGAGCAGUUUCGAGAGAGGGGGAAGGACUUGCGCAUGAUGUUUAUUAAUCUAGAGAAGGCAUAUAAUAGAGUUCCCAGGGAGAUUCUGUGGAGGUUCUUGGAGGCUAGAGGGGUGCCCGUGAUGGUUCGAAGACUCGUGUGAGGACGGUAGGUGGAGAUUCAGAGCACUUCACAGUUUUGAUAGGGUUGCACUAGGGAUCGACUCUUAGCCCGUUUCUAUUUGCUUUGGUGAUGGAUGUUUUGACGCGACAGAUUCAAGUAAAGGUUCCUUGAUGUAUGUUAUUUGUAGAUGAUGUGGUUCUGAUUGACGAGACUCGGGGUGGAGUUAAUGAUAAGUUGGAAAUUUGAAGACAGGCGCUUGAUCUAAAGGUUUUCGGUUAAGUAGAAUCAAGACGGAGUACUUGGAGUGUAAGUUCAGUGAUAUGUCACAAGAAGAUGAAGUAGUUAUGAAGCUAGACUCUCAGGCCAUCCAGAAGAGGGAGAGUUUCAAGUAUCUGGGGUCUAUAAUUCAGGGUAAUAGUGAGAUUGACGAGGAUGUCACGCAUCAUAUUGGGGCAGGGUGGUUGAAGUGAAGGCUCGCCUCAGGAGUCUUUUGUAAUAAGAAGGUGCCCCCGAAGCUUAAAAGUAAGUUCUACAGAGUGGUAGUCUAGAUGGCUAUAUUAUAUGGAGCGAAGUAUUGGCCAAUUAAGAACUCCCACAUCCAAAAGGUGAAAGUGGUGGAUAUGCGAAUGUUGCGAUGGAUGUGUAGACAUACUACAAAAGAUAGCGUGAGGAAUGAGAUUAUUCGGGAGAAGGUGGGAGUUGCCUCGGUGAAGGAUAAGUUGCGAGAAAUGAGGCUACGUUGGUUCGGGCAUGUGAUGAGGAGGGGCCUUGAUGCUCUAGUACGGAGGUAUAAGACUCUGGCUAGGGAUGGCUUUAGGCGGGCUAGAGGUAGACCGAAGAAAUAUUGGAGGGGGGUGAUUAGGCAUGAUAUGGAGCAAUUACAGCUUACAGAGGACAUGACCCUUGAUAGAAAAGUGUAGAGAAUGCGGAUUAGGGUAGAGAGUUAGGGGGUGGGAGCGCGGAGGUAGUAAUAGGGAGUGCUCCUUUGGGUCUGGAGUUUCUGGUUCGUAGUGUUGUGGCUGUAGUUUGGGGCUAGUGGUGUUGUCUUUUUUGCAUUCCGUACUAGUUUAUUAUGCACUUAUCUUUUGUGUUUGUUAUACGGUUAGUUUGUUUUGUGUACCAUACAAGUUUAUAUGCGCCUACUUUUUGUAUUUGUUAUACUGUUAUUGGUCCUAAGCCGGGGAUUUAUCGAAAACAGCCUCUCUACUUCUCUUGAGGUAGUGGUAUAAUCUGCGUACACUCUACCCUCCCCAGACCCCACUAGGUGGGAAUACACUAGGUAUGUUGUUGUUGUUGUUGCUAGUGUACAUUUAUUUGUGAAAAUUUGAAAAGUAAGAGUUAAAAUUAGAUAAGAAUGAAUGUAAUAGUAAAAAAUACACAUAAAAACAUGUAGCUGAAAUAAAGUAUAAAUAACAAUAGCAAUAAUAAUAAUUUUAUUUUAAGGAAGAAAUAAAUAAUAAAAAUAGCGAUAAAAUAUCUUAUAUAUAGUAGUGCAUAUUAUAUGUACCUUGUAUUUUUUUUUUUUUUUUAAGAUUAUAAAAAAUCAGAAAAAAUCUUGAAGUAAUGUUAAGGAGUAAAUAUAGAGUGCCAUAAAAUUUGAACCAUAUUAAAUUGUAUAAAAAUUAAAUUUUUGAUAAGUGAAUUAUUUGCAAAUAUAAAUGGGUUAACUAAUUGACACUUAUUUAUAGUGAUUUACUUGAAAAACUCCAAUUAAGAUGAUAAAACCGUUGAGAAAUAUUAUUUGCAAAUGAAUAGUUAACCAUGAUAUUCAGUUCAGAAAAAAAUAUAUUUUUCAUUUGAGGUCGCACAUAAAGCCCAAGUUUGUCUCCUUUAUUCUAAAAAAUUUAUUCGUAUGCUAAAAGUAAAUGCUUGAGCGAUAUGUUGUGUUAUGUCUAAUAGAAAAACAAAUGAACGAGAGAUUAGCUAAAGAAAACCAACUCGAGAAAAUUAAGUAGGAGGUGAAAAAAAAAAUCUUUAAAUUAAAAAUGGUGACAACUUUGACCGAUUAAGGCCAAAACUUUAUUUAAAUUGUGAUUAAAUUAAUUGGGGAGUAAAGUAUAAUUUUUAAAACCUUUUUAAUUUUUUAAAAAGUCCUCCAACUUCAAAUUUCAAGUUUUAGAAUUUUCCCCCUUUUUUCUUAUCUUUUAAUUUUCCUCUUCUUUUUCUUUCUCCUCAUGUUCUUCUUCUUAUUUUUCUCUCUCUAGAUUUUCCUUUUCUUUCGUCUUCUUUUUCUUUCUCUUUUCAUUUUCUUCUUCCUUUUUUAAUUUUUAUGGACUAUUUUUAUAAAAAAUUAAAAAGUUUGAAAAAAAAUUUUUUAAUUUCUUUUAAAAAUGAUUGAAAAAAUAAUUUAACAAAUUCAGCAACUACAGUAAUUGCUGCAACAACAACUAUUAGUUGUUGUGUUACAGCAAUCAUCGAAGUUGCUAUAGCAAUUAUUAAAGUUGCAGCAGUAACUAUCGAAGUUGCUGCAACAAUUAUCGAAGUUGCUGCUUAAUUUCUGAAAAAAAGUCUGAAUGGAGGAGCCCACAAAAAGUGAUAUUUAUGGUAAAAAAAAAGAGGCAGUGGUGCUAGUGGUGACGCCAAAUGAGAAGAUGAUAUUUGUUGUGGUGUUGAUAGCGACUGUGGUAGAGGAAAAAAGGAAAAAUAGACUACAGUUAUGUAGAGGGAGAAAAUAAUGAUGAAUCUGGAAGAGGUGGCAAUGAUAGUGAUAGUAGAGGAAGAGGAGGUGGCAACGGCGAGCGGCAACAAAAAAGGUGUGGGGAAAAAAAAAAAAGGUGUAGAAAUCUUUGUGUAAAUAUAAGGUAAGGAUCUUUGUAUACAUAAUAAAACUUGAGGAUUUUAAAAUUAGUGUCAUUAACACUAAUUUUAAAAUUAUCACCUCUACUCAAUAUUUAAGACUUGUGUCACUUUUUUUUUAUUUUGAAACUUUUUUGUCACCUUAAUUAAUUUGCCAACCAACUCUAGGUCAUUAAAGCUAAAUGAGAUAAAUGAAUAUAAAGCUAAUUCAAAUUUAAUUAUUCACAUAAAAAUUCAUAAUCAAGUACAUAUAAGGGUUAGUAAAACAUGUACAAAUAAUAAAAUAAUCAAGGAGGAAAAAAGAUCGAUAUUAUAAGUUUCUAUUGAACGAAUCGGAUCCUAACGAUUUAGACCCCGAGUUAUGUGAUCUAUUGCUGUUGAACCGAUAUUUUGAUCGAAAUGAAGUUUCAAUUGAAACUCCAACUCCCGAGUUCACAUGAAAAAAAAGAUUAGGAGUAGAAAUCGAACUUGAGUUAUAUAAAUAAGUAAUAAAAAUAAUAUGCUAUGUAACCAGAUAAUUCAAACUUCAGUGUGCUGAUUACGUAAAACAGAGAAAAAUAAAUGAACUUAAACAUGCACCUGACAAAUUAUUACCAAGUGGAGCAAUAUUUUAGCAAGCAAUGGUUAGAUGAAGCUACACGUCAUUAAUAUCUCAAACUAUUCAAAAUAUCUCAAACUAUUCAAAAUACUAUCAUUCUAUUCUAAAGAAAAUUAGAAGCAAUUCCAAGCUAAUUGUUUUGAAGACUGGACAUAUGGCAACAUAAAUCAAAUUAACCGCCUAUUUUAUUCAAGCUCACCAAUAUAAGCAUGAAGUGAAAAUUUAGACGAGCUUAUCAAGAAUAGGCUCUUCAAGCUUGUUAGAAAUUGAAUAGUCAGUAUCUAAUUGACGUCGAACACCUUUUAUUCAUAAUUGAGAAGACACAAACCCAUAUAGAGAGGGAGAGAUUGAUUCUUGAAUCAAAAAUGAACUUAUGCUAACAUAGGUUGACCACACUUAAUUAGUAACACACAAUGAACAAAACAGAGAUUCGAAAAUGCAAGUUCAGUUGCUCGGGCAACUUAUUCAUACUACAACUAGUUGGGAUAUUUUUCAAGUCAUUAUGAACCUAAAAGAACUCACAAUUAUAAAUAAGUGCUAUAAAAAACAUGAAACGUAAGAAAAAAUUUGGGACACCAAAAAGUUUUCAAACUUAAACCAACUCGAACUCAAAAACAACCACAGCUUAAAAUAAAUCAAGACAGGACCAUAUUUUUUUUUGAAAAUUUGAUUCUCGAGAGCGAACAACACUACUACGACCCAAACUUGAAACAAAAAAUGUAAAAUAUAUUCACACACAAAUCCAUUUCAGAUUCGACAACAAAAAUAUAUACUUGAUCAAAAUUCACAAACCAACUUAUCUUUUAAAAUCAACAACAACGCCAUAAACUUGAUCAAAAGUUAGGAAAAAAUCAUAUACUCGUGGAAAAAAAAGAAAAGCUGAAGGAGACGAAGGUGAAAAAUAAUUCCAAAGGGAUAGGUUCGCACCUUUUUUGAGGCAGCUAAUCGGAGCUUCAACGUUAAGGGUUUUCCGACAAUAAAACUCGAACUCCAGAAACUCUAACUUAAACCAAAAUCAAGAAGAGGAAAAAUCUUCGUGACUUUUCUUGUGGGUUUUCCCAAACGUUAGAAGAUAAUUUUUGAGAGUGUUAACUGGUUUUUCCCUAAUUUUUCAACUGUCAACUUGUUAUUUCGAAUUUGCAACUUGUUCUAUGGGAUGGAGAACACCCAUAUAUAGGCAAUCCGGACUUUAAAGUUCGAAUUUGAAACCCAAAAUUAACAAAAUGUGGGAAGAAAAUGGCNNNNNNNNNNNNNNNNNNNNNNNNNNNNNNNNNNNNNNNNNGGGGGGGGGGGAGUGGAGAUUUAAAUUUUGAAUUCAAAAUUGAACGAAUCUUCUCCUUUCUCCGUACUCUGAUGAUUUUCACAACAUUAAUGGCGGAUUUGAAGCAACAAAUAGAUCGUUGCAUCUACUUGAUACCUGACUUUUGCUGAUUCGGUUGAUUCACGGGUUGACGAUGUUAAAAAAAAAAAAAAAAAUCUUCCCAGGGGUAGCAGGAAUUCAACAACCAUGGUGCAGCUAGGGGUCGCGGUUUCGGGGGUGACGAAGGAGAGGAGAAGGAGAAAGACGAAGAAGGGUCGUCAAUGUUUUGUUGCUUUUCUGUAAAGAGAUAAUGAAAGAUCCGUGGGAUAUGGGGAAAAGGAAAAUGGACACAUUUUCUAAUUUUUUUGGAACAAGGAAUAUGCAUUUUGGUACUCG